UCCCAAACUGGGAUUAGAUACCCCACUAUGCUUAGCCCUAAACAUAGAUAAUUUUACAACAAAAUAAUUCGCCAGAGGACUACUAGCAAUAGCUUAAAACUCAAAGGAGGGGCGGUGCUUUAUAUCCCUCUAGAGGAGCCUGCUCGAUAAUCGAUAA
rnacentral:rRNA from 1 species